AUACAUAGGGGGCGAGCGUUAUCCGGAAUUAUUGGGCGUAAAGCGUGCGUAGGCGGCCGUUUAAGUCUGUCGUGAAAGCCCACAGCUUAACUGUGGAGGGUCGAUGGAAACUGGAUGGCUUGAGUGUAGAAGAGGUAAGUGGAAUUCCAUGUGUAGCGGUAAAAUGCGUAGAUAUAUGGAGGAACACCAGUGGCGAAGGCGGCUUACUGGUCUAGCAUUGACGCUGAGGCACGAAAGCGUAGGUAGCAAACAGGAUUAGAUACCCUGGUAGUCUACGCUGUAAACGAUGAGCACUAAGUGUCGGACGUAAGUUCGGUGCUGUAGUUAACGCAUUAAGUGCUCCGCCUGGGGAGUACGGUCGCAAGACUGAAACUCAAAGGAAUUGACGGGGACCCGCACAAGCGGUGGAGCAUGUGGUUUAAUUCGACGCAACGCGAAAAACCUUACCAGGCCUUGACAUCCCUAUGACCGCUCUAGAGAUAGAGUUUCCUCUUCGGAGGUAUAGGUGACAGGUGGUGCAUGGUUGUCGUCAGCUCGUGUCGUGAGAUGUUGGGUUAAGUCCCGCAACGAGCGCAACCCUUAUCAUUAGUUGCUAACAUUAAGUUGAGCACUCUAAUGAGACUGCCAGCGACAAGUUGGAGGAAGGUGGGGAUGACGUCAAAUCAUCAUGCCCCUUAUGGCCUGGGCUACACACGUGCUACAAUGGCCGGUACAAAGAGCAGCGAAAUUGUGAAAUGGAGCAAAUCUCAAAAAGCCGGUCUCAGUUCGGAUUGUAGUCUGCAACUCGACUACAUGAAGUUGGAAUCGCUAGUAAUCGUGGAUCAGCAUGCCACGGUGAAUACGUUCUCGAGUCUUGUACACACCGCCCGUCACACCAUGAGAGUUUGUAAUACCCGAAGCCGGUGGCUUAACCGCAAGGAGAGAGCCGUCUAAGGUAGGACAGAUGAUUGGGGUGAAGUCGUAACAAGGUAUCCCUACGAGAACGUGGGGAUG
rnacentral:rRNA from 1 species